rnacentral:rRNA from 1 species
AAAAAGGUAGCUUAAUAAUUUGAAUCUUAAUUGGAUUCUAGAAAUGAAUGAAAAAUAUGUUUAAUUAUAUUUUUAAUAAAAUUUACAAAAAUAAAUAAGCAAAUAAAAAAUUUUGCAAAAAUAAAAAAAAAGAAAAGACCCUGGAAAUUUGAAAUUUAAUUGGGACAAUUACGUUAUAUAUUUUAUUUCUUAAAAUAAAUAUUAAAAAAUUACUCCAGGGAUAACAGGGUUCUUAAAUUUUAAAAUUUAAAUGCCACAUCGAUGUUGUAUCAUAAUUUUUUUAAUUAGAAAUUAAUUAUUAAAAUAAAGAUUGUUCAUCUUUAUAAUUAUA